UACAGAGGUCUCAAGCGUUGUUCGGAUUCAUUGGGCGUAAAGGGUGUGUAGGUGGCGCGCUAAGUCGGGUGUGAAAUUUCGGAGCUUAACUCCGAAACUGCAUUCGAUACUGCCGUGCUUGAGGACUGGAGAGGAGACUGGAAUUUACGGUGUAGCGGUGAAAUGCGUAGAUAUCGUAAGGAAGACCAGUGGCGAAGGCGGGUCUCUGGACAGUUCCUGACGCUGAGGCACGAAGGUCAGGGGGAGCAAAACGGGG
rnacentral:rRNA from 1 species